CCAGUGUAGUAAAAGUGUGGGAAAGAUAAUAAAAGAAGUGCGUCGUCGUUGGAUAUUUUGAAGGAUUAUCAGAACGGAGUUCAACUCACCCUACAGAUCGAAGUCGAACUCCGAGCAUGAUGGACGUCAGGGAUACAGGUUGCCCCUUUUCUUGCGACGCUGAAAAUGCCUACAGAUUCUGGAUUGAUGAAGUGGAAAAAGUCUGCACGACAGCGGUACUCAAGAAACAAAGCGAUAUCGUGGACAAAAGUUAUGCCUAUUUGCAAGCAAGACACAAAGAAAUAAAGCUGUUAAUGGAUCGUUUAUCGGGUGAUCGGGGCACGACCCACCUCAGUCCGACGGAGUCUUUGGGAACGCGGCAAAAUAGCUCCUCUAAUCCCGACGGCACAUGCUCAUCGGGGGCGUCAAACAUUGCUACUUUAAGUCGACAUAUUUCGGUCGCUGCAAGUAACCGGUCUUGGAGGCAGCAGGAUAACGGCAACCCGGAGGAUCAGGUUCGUGACAAAAAUCACCAAAGUUAGGUUUACGUUUAACUGCUAUAAAAAUCAGGUACAGGCGCUGCAUACAACCUUGACACCACCGUUCGCUCCAAAUAGGUACCACCUUUUUACCACCUUUGGCUUCUAAUUCUCCAUUUUGCACACCACCUUUGACUCCGCAUACCACCAUAAAUUUUUUAGGCUUUAAAAAAAUAAUAGAUUAGAGAUGUUGUACGAUAUUUCAUAAACGUUGAAGGCUAAGAAACGUACGAGUAAAAGAUUUUGUGUUACCUGAUCAAAUUGCGGUAAAAACAGGGAUAUAGGCGCACAGGGAGUGGUACUGCAUCGCAGCCUCGACUCUAAGCUAACUGACCAAGCCAAGGUAGAACUUUGGAAGUUUUACGGCUGAAAUGAGCCAGACGAGCAGCUGCGGGUCCGAUACGAGAAUGCGCAGAAUAAAAAAAGGUUGUUAGUAGUUACUCCUGACCAUUUACUGUGGACUUUAGAAUGCUUUGAGAAAAAAACGGCUUCCAUAAAAAAGACGCCCUGGAC